AGCAUAUCAAUAAGCGGAGGAAAAGAAACUAACAAGGAUUCCCCUAGUAACUGCGAGUGAAGAGGGAAAAGCUCAAAUUUAAAAUCUGGUAUCCUUAGGGUGCUCGAGUUGUAAUUUGGAGAGGCGUUUUCUGUGCUGGACUGUGUAAAAGUUUCUUGGAAUAGAACAUCAUAGAGGGUGAGAAUCCCGUCUUUGACACAGACUACCAGUGCUCUGUGAUACGCUUUCAAAGAGUCGCGUUGUUUGGGAAUGCAGCGCUAAAUGGGUGGUAAAUUCCAUCUAAAGCUAAAUAUUGGCGAGAGACCGAUAGCGAACAAGUACCGUGAGGGAAAGAUGAAAAGCACUUUGGAAAGAGAGUUAAACAGUACGUGAAAUUGUUGAAAGGGAAACGCUUGAAGUCAGUCGCAUUGCUUUGGAUUCAGCCUUGCUCUUUUGCUUGGUGUAUUUCCUUUGUAAUGGGUCAGCAUCAAUUUUGUUCAGUGGAAAGAGGAUGGGGGAAUGUGGCACCUUCGGGUGUGUUAUAGCCCCUGUUUGUAUACAUUGAAUGGGAUUGAGGUCUGCAGCACGCCUUUAUGGCCGGGGUUCGCCCACGCAAGUGCUUAGGAUGCUGGCAUAAUGGCUUUAAGCGACCCGU
rnacentral:rRNA from 1 species